AAGAAGCAGCAAGCGCCAGCGCUUUUGCUCGGUGAUUUUUACGGUUUUCAUGCGGUCCGAUUUGUUUAAAUCGCGAGUUUGAUUACUAAAACGGAAACCAUUUGUUCGGUGCUGGUGCGUUGAUGUUCAUUCUCACGAGAUAGUUAGCUAUUUAGGCGUAGAUGUUCGCCAGCUUGAAGCUUGGGAAGUUUGCGGGCAUCAUCUGGAUGCUGCCGGAUGUGAUCGUUGUGACGCCAGGACGAAACUCGGCGCUGCAGUAUUGUGUGUUUGACCAAAGAGGACCGUCUUUCGAGAUGAGUUUCGGCGAGCAGCUGGCGAAGACCUUGCGAAGGUAGCUUUAGGCAAAGGUCCUGCUCCGAGCACCGCUAUCGAAGCUGGUGGUAGACUUUCGAAGGCUGGCUUGGGUGAUCGCACACAUAGCGCAGUCGCCGGGACGUAGCAUUACGUUGAAUAGAUUGCUCUGUUUUUAUUUUUAUUCAUUUUUUCAUGUUAAUACCGGAGUGGCCUCUGGAAUGCUGGAGUGAUUUUCAUUUCGUUCGGUCCAUAACUGCACGUCGCCAACACUCAGCUAGCUUGUCAUGCUCGUCAGAUCACCAAGAACCACUUUCACUGGGUAGCAACUCUUAAUGUUGGAGAAAAAGUCUGUAAUUAUCUAGUUAGAUAUGAUCAUUACCAACGUGCACGGCAACUUAGCGACUAUAGAAAAAUCUGGAAGGGCCACCAAAGCAGUCAUGACUUGUACCACCAAGCAAUAUACUGGAAUCGAUGAGCCGGUUUACAGGACUAAUUUUGCAACCAUUUUUUAAGAAGAUCGGACUGCCGUUACAUUGAUGUCUUGGAACUCCAAGAGGAUGUACCAAGGAUAGGACCUAACGUCUAUGCAUCGCUAUCUGUGAACCUUUUACGGGAACUCCUCAGUGCCGGCUGCAAAAACAGAUUCGCGAGCACUAAUAUAUAGGAUCAUACAUGUUUCUUUUGACUUGAUUAUGUGGAAUCUGACAGCGCCGGUAAUUAAGCAGUUCAGCGGUAGCACCAUUGGAGGACAGGGAAUCAUUAACGAAGGAGUAUCGCACUCCAGCACUGUCACUACGCGGUUCAGCGGUACAGCAGCUUUCGAUUACUGGGAAGCUACAACGGAAGAGCCACACACUACGACACAAACGUAAACUCUGGGAUGGUCAUUACAUGAAAUCUCUCAGGUAACCACUUUCAAUGAAAUAAAAAAAACAAAAGGUGUUGAGUGAUGAAAGAAUAAAUCAUAUAAUUUAA